GCAUUAAACAAGGUCCAGAUAUAAUUUCCAUGCUCGACGCAGGCAUUAAAUAACAAUUAUUCAGGUUCAUCACUAAUCCUGAUGGUAAUCGAAGAGCGAGCGUGCCGACAACAAUCACAUAAACCUUGGAACCAUUUCCCAAGUGCAUCAUCACUUCGUCCUUUGCCAACCUUCGUCUAUUUCGUAGUUCCUUCUUUGAGUUGCAAAUUUGAGCAACCGAACCGUUAUCAAAUACCCAGGCAC
rnacentral:lncRNA from 1 species